rnacentral:rRNA from 1 species
ACAGCAGCAGCCACGGUAAUACGAAGGGUGCAAGCGUUACUCGGAAUUACUGGGCGUAAAGCGUGCGUAGGUGGUGGUUUAAGUCCGUUGUGAAAGCCCUGGGCUCAACCUGGGAAUUGCAGUGGAUACUGGGUCACUAGAGUGUGGUAGAGGAUAGUGGAAUUUCCGGUGUAGCAGUGAAAUGCGUAGAGAUCGGAAGGAACAUCUGUGGCGAAGGCGACUAUCUGGGCCAACACUGACACUGAGGCACGAAAGCGUGGGAAGCAAACAGGAUUAGAUACCCCCGUAGUCCCUGUCUCUUAUAC